rnacentral:rRNA from 1 species
AACGAACGCUGGCGGCGUGGCUAAGACAUGCAAGUCGAACGGGUCUGUUAAUUUAUUAGCAGAUCAGUGGCGAAAGGGUGAGUAAUGGAUAGGUAACGUACCCCGUACUCUGGGAUAGCCAUCCGAAAGGGUGGGUAAUACCGGAUAAUAUCACCGAUCGAUGGGUUGGUGAUCAAAGAUUUAUCGGCGCGGGAGCGGCCUAUCUCCUAUCAGCUAGUUGGUGAGGUAACGGCCCACCAAGGCGAAGACGGGUAGCGGGACUGAGAGGUUGGCCCGCCACAUCGGAACUGAGAUACUGUCCGGACCCCCACCGGGGGCGGG